UGGCGAACGGGUGAGUAACGCGUGAGGAACCUGCCUCAAAGAGGGGGACAACAGUUGGAAACGACUGCUAAUACCGCAUAAGCCCACGGGUCGGCAUCGACCAGAGGGAAAAGGAGCAAUCCGCUUUGAGAUGGCCUCGCGUCCGAUUAGCUAGUUGGUGAGGUAAUGGCCCACCCAAGGCAACGAUCGGUAGCCGGACCUGAGAGGUUGAACGGCCACAUUGGGACUGAGACACGGCCCAGACUCCUACGGGAGGCAGCAUG
rnacentral:rRNA from 1 species